AUGGCUACCACCACCAAGCUUGCAGCUCUUGGCUUCGUUGUCCUUGUGAGCAUUGGAUUUGCCGAUGCUGCAAGGAUGCUCGCUAGCUCCUACAGUGCCUCAGGUGGUGGUGGUGGUGGGGGAGGCGGCGGUGGUGCGUCUGGUGGGAGUGGAUAUGGUAGAGGGUCUGGGUCAGGUGGAGGCUUAGGAUAUGGUGAGAGUGGUGGAGAUUGGGGUAACAAGUGGAACUUUGCCAAGGGAUCUGGUGGAGGGGGAGGAGCUGGUGGCGGCGGAGGAUCAACGGGUGGAUCUGGGUCUGGUUCCGGAUCCGGCUAUGGCUCUGGUAGCGGUGUGAGUGGAUCUGCGUCGGCUCCUAGUGGUAAUGGUUAUGCCAAUGCUGAUGGUAUGGGCGGGGGCGGGGGCGAAGGUGGUGGUGCAAAUGGGUCUAGUGGAACUGGAGUUGGAUCUGGCCUUGGCAAGGGAUAUGGUGAGAGUGGUGUGUCAAACGCACCGGCUCCUGUUGCCGGUGCUGAUGGUACCAGCUACUCUGAUGCUGGCGGUAGUGGUAACGGUGGUGGUGGCGGUAACAACGGAAAUGGAGGUGGUGUGGGCACUGGCGCUGGACAGGCCGGCAGCGACGACACUUCUGGAGGCUUUGCAAAUGGAGGAGGAAGUGGCAAUGGUGGCGGCGCAACUGGAGGUGCCACUGAAGGCCCAAGUGUUGGAGUUGGAUCUGGUGCUGGGUCUGGCGCUGGUCAGACCGGUAGCACUGGCUCUUAUGGCGAAGGCUAUGCUACAGGAAUUGGUGGUGGCAUGGGUGGCGGCAAUGGUGAGAGCCAGAAUGGCGGAACUGGCAGCGGUGGAGGCAGUGGAUCCGGAUCUGGUGGUGGUGGAUACCACUAA
rnacentral:rRNA from 1 species